UACGAAGGGGGCUAGCGUUGCUCGGAAUUACUGGGCGUAAAGGGCGCGUAGGCGGCCAGAUUAGUCAGGCGUGAAAGCCCUGGGCUCAACCUGGGGACUGCGCUUGAUACGGUUUGGCUUGAGGACGGAAGAGGCUCGCGGAAUUCCCAGUGUAGAGGUGAAAUUCGUAGAUAUUGGGAAGAACACCGGUGGCGAAGGCGGCGAGCUGGUCCGUACCUGACGCUGAGGCGCGACAGCGUGGGGAGCAAACAGG
rnacentral:rRNA from 1 species